UCAGAUUGAACGCUGGCGGCAGGCCUAACACAUGCAAGUCGAACGGUAACAGGAAGAAGCUUGCUCUUUGCUGACGAGUGGCGGACGGGUGAGUAAUGUCUGGGAAACUGCCUGAUGAGGGGGAUAACUACUGGAAACGGUAGCUAAUACCGCAUAACGUCGCAAGACCAAAGAGGGGGACCUUCGGGCCUCUUGCCAUCGGAUGUGCCCAGAUGGGAUUAGCUAGUAGGUGGGGUAACGGCUCACCUAGGCGACGAUCCCUAGCUGGUCUGAGAGGAUGACCAGCCACACUGGAACUGAGACACGGUCCAGACUCCUACGGGAGGCAGCAGUGGGGAAUAUUGCACAAUGGGCGCAAGCCUGAUGCAGCCAUGCCGCGUGUAUGAAGAAGGCCUUCGGGUUGUAAAGUACUUUCAGCGGGGAGGAAGGGAGUAAAGUUAAUACCUUUGCUCAUUGACGUUACCCGCAGAAGAAGCACCGGCUAACUCCGUG
rnacentral:rRNA from 1 species